AUCGAGUCCAUGACUCUUGGCUCAACUCAUUACACCCCUAAUUAAUUUCAAACUCAUCUCAUAAACUUUUCCAAAUUAAGAUAACUCCAACUCAGCUCAGCUCAUAAUUAAUUAGACUCAAUUAAGACCAAAUCAAUUUAAUACUCCUCUUUCAGUAGGCCCAACCUACCUAAACUUAGAUUGUGUUUUAAAUCCACCAUUAAUAUUCAGCUCAUACAAAAUUGAAAGGGCCCCACUUUCCUCCAACCAAUCAGAUAAGGAUAAACUUCACCAGCGCGGCUCCCACACAUAAGCCGAGCCACUGCGACCGGCCACCUACUCAGCCGGUUAAACAAUUGGGCAAAAGUAGCAGCAGAGACCGUACAACUUCACUGCAAUUUAGCAGUAGCAGGUCUUCUCCCAAUCCCCAUUCCAACGGCAGUUGCACUGCAUUUACUGCGUGCGCCCCUACUUUCUCUCUCACACACACAGGCGCACAAAACCCACACACUACUUUCUCACUCCUCCAUCAUCCUCUGCAACAAUAACUACCAGCGCUCUUCGAAUAUGACUGCAUUAUCGAAUUUCCGCUGCUUUCUCUCUCUAGCUUGAAGAUUCCGCCGUCCGUACAGAACUGUGCUCGAAUUUCCGCCUGCUGUUAAAAACAAAAAAAAAAUCGACCGGUGCUGUUAUAUACAAAGGGUUAUGGUCCUUACGGUUGCCGUGUUUCCUACCAUGAAGAUCGGUUGAAUGAAGAAAUUGUAGUGUAGAGAAUGCCUAAAAAAGGACAGCUCCAAUAGAAAGAAAAAAAACGAAAAAAAAAAAGAUUUGGUUUCGGUUUCCUGUUCAACAGUAAGAUGCUGGAAAUUGAAUCGUGCCCGUCGAGGGUUUUGUCACCUUUCCGAGAAGAAAAUGGCGAUGAAGAGCUAGCUGUUCUUCCUAGGCAUACGAAGGUUAUUGUGACAGGUAAUAACAGAACAAAGAGCGUUUUGGUCGGUUUGCAAGGUGUCGUCAAGAAGGCUGUUGGGCUUGGUGGUUGGCAUUGGCUGGUACUAAAGAAUGGUGUCGAGGUGAAGCUCCAAAGGAAUGCAUUGAGUGUAUUAGAACCUCCAACUGGGAACGAAGACGAUGAUGAUGAUGAUUACGACAUUGAUGAUUCUAGCAGUGGCUCUGAUAUUUGUGACAAGCACCACCGCCGCUUUUCUUACGGCUUUCACUUCAGCAAGAUAAGCAAGCCAAGAGUUCGGUAUAAUCGACCAUGUAACGCAACACAAUUGUGUAUUGCAUUGAUCAGAGAGUUAACUUGGGAAAGCUCGGGACUGGAUCACUAUGCAGAUAUUGGCGAAGUUUCCACCUCCAGGCCAAUAUAAGUCCUAAUCCUACAAAGGAACAACUGGUCAACGCGGUCCAGAAGCACUUUUCUUCUCAGAAAGUGGACGAGGUACAAGUGAUUCUUGAAUUUAUUCGUGCGGCCAAGAAGAGACUGCAAUUAUCUGGCAAGUAUUAAUAUUUUAGACCAAUUCAGAGUUACAUAUGCUGACUCACUCACUCUGCCUGUAAUAUAAUAUAUAUGUAUAUGUAUGUAUGUAGGUAUAUAUAUAGUGUUAUUAUGAACCCUAACUUUAUUUCACCUCUAAUUAUUGACUGCUAAUUAAUGUAGAACCAGCUGUGUGUAACUGUGUGUUGGAUUGGAAAUCCCCAUUAAUUUGCUCAAUUAGUUUUAAAA